CGACCACCGACACAUAGGCCAAAGUGGGGUGAUUAGGAGUGCAAGAGUGAGAGAGGGGAAAAUAAUGGAAAGUUGGAAACAAAAAGAAGGGUGAUGUGGGAAAACAGUGUGAUGCUAAAGGUGCAAAAUCCUGGAGAGUGAUCAGGACUAUUGUGGAAAUCCAAAAUGGUCAAGGAAGGGUAAACACUGCCAUAUGAGACUGCCAGCAUUUAUUGGAAGGACUCUCAACGAACACGAACCACUUGUGUUGUCUUACACGUCCAAAAGCCUGAUUUCCUCCAUCCCUGUUCGCCCCCUGGUUCCACCCAGCCUGACCUAAUCAGUGAUAAGUUGAGUGCUUUCGUCAACAGAGCAGACCCCUUCAAUUAGCAGCGCAUAGCUAUAAGCUCAUGUGUAAGCAUUGCUGUGAAAUUGCAUGUGCGGGCGUGCAUGCUGCCAGCCUCCAGACUGACCUCGGCUCCCUCCAGUUACUCAGCUAAUAAGUCAGUGACUGAACUCAGCCUCCUGCAUAUCCAGAUGGAGAGGUUUAAUGGGUAUUAAAGGUGGAGAGGCUGAACAGAUAGAGGAGGAUAACUUAAAGCUGCCAACAGAGUUGGCCAAG